CCCUUAGAUGUUCUGGGCCGCACGCGCGCUACACUGAUGCAUUCAACGAGCACCCGCUGGGCCGAGAGGUCCGGCUAAUCUUUGAACGUGCAUCGUGCUGGGGAUAGAUGAUUGCAAUUAUUCAUCUUCAACGAGGAAUUCCUAGUAAACGCAAGUCAUCAGCUUGCAUUGAUUACGUCCCUGCCCUUUGUACACACCGCCCGUCGCACCUACCGAUUGAAUGGUCCGGUGAAAUUCUCGGACGCGGACUUGCAAUGUUAAUUCGGAGCUUGACUGUGAAAGUUAAUUAAACCUUACCAUUUAGAGGAAGGUGAAGUCGUAACA
rnacentral:rRNA from 1 species